GACGGAAGGUGCAAGCGUUGCUCGGAAUCAUUGGGCGUAAAGAGCGUGUAGGCGGUUCGGUAAGUCGGCUGUGAAAGUCCAGGGCUCAACCCUGGGAUGCCGGUCGAUACUGCCGGACUAGAGUUCGGAAGAGGCGAGUGGAAUUCCAGGUGUAGCGGUGAAAUGCGUAGAUAUCUGGAGGAACACCGGUGGCGAAGGCGACGUCCUGGACCGGCAUUGACGCUGAGGCGCGAAAGCCAGGGGAGCAAACGGG
rnacentral:rRNA from 1 species